GACGAACGCUGGCGGCGUGCCUAAAACAUGCAAGUCGAACGAGGGGGCAACCCCUAGUGGCGAACGGCGGAGUAAGACAUGAACAACGUGCCCUGAAGUCCGGGACAAACGCAGAAAUGCCAUAAAUACCGGAUGUGGCCGAGCCUCGGCAUCGUGGCUCGAUUAAAGGUUUUUCGCUUCAGGAGCGGUUCAUGGCCUAUCAGGUAGUUGGUGGGGUAACGGCCUACCAAAGCCGACGACAGGAGCGGGUCUGAGAGGAUGAUCCGCCCCGAGUGGGACUGAGACACGGCCCACACACCUACGGGUGGCAGCAGUUGGGAA
rnacentral:rRNA from 1 species